CUUUCACCAGGGAGGAGCAGGAGGGAGGCGGCGGCUUAUUGAUCCUUUCCAGGACAGGCCUGUCCUUGACGGGCUAUUUUUGGCACAGUUUCACCCCGCAAAGCUUCCCCUGCCAGGUGGACACUUUGACACGUCAGCUCCCGUGUGCCGGGGAACAGGACCCGCUUUCCCUCUAGCUUCAGCAAAGAGCAGUUGGGAGGUCCACUCUGUGUGGGGACAACGGGCGCUGCGUUCCGAGACGAAGAGCAGAGACAGCACGCAGAGAACUCACUCUCGCCGACAUUUUCCUGCUUUCUGCAAUGAGAGCGUUUAUCCUGGAAUUUCCAGAUCCCCUGGUGCCCGCACAGGCUAGAGAACUUGCACAUCCCUUCACCCACGGUGCUCUCUCCGCGAAGAGGAUUUGUGCGGCAGUUUUCGUCUUCCGAGAAAACGCGAGGGGAGGAAGAGGAGUGGGUCUCUUCAGAGCUAAGACUGGUGAAUGAGCAUGCAAUCGAGUGUUAGGGGCGAUUCCACAAAUAAGAAACGAAGACCCCAUUCCUCCACCCUUGGGCUGAGCCUCUGUCAUUGGAUGAAGUGUCUUGUCCCACAGCAGAUAAUACCCACGGAGUCAACCGCCUGUUCCUCUAGAAGGCAGGCUCCUGGCAAGCAGGGUCCCUGCUGCAUCAGAGGUUGCCGUAAAUCUUACCCAAAACUCGGGCGGGGCUGGAGCGACUGUCUGCGUACACAACUCCGUUGUCUUCCUCGGCACAGACAAGGAGAGUGGGGCCCGAUUCCCACCACCGGACCACACCUACCCUCCCUAGGCCAUGCUCCUAGGCCACGUUUGAUUGCUUUCUGGCCCUUUGCUGACUCUACCAGCAUGACUCCCUCCUGCCACGAGGCUCUGCCGCUUUGCUGAUGUGCAGAUGGAUCCUUGAGUACACGGAGUAAAGCUCUCCCACUCAGACAGACGAGCCACAGGAGCAGUCUUCAGAAUGGGAUGGUGACAGCUGCUCCCUUUGGGGGGAGCCAGCCCAGAAGCUCUUCGGCCGCCUUGCUCGCGCCUGCUUCGAGGUUUGCUAAUUUCACGCCUGGCUUUUUCGUGCCGUGCCUUUUGAAAGGCAGGAGGGGCAUGGCCGACUCGCUGGCUGGUGAUCUUCAGAGCUCAUCUCAAGGUCAACAGUGAUGGCCUGUGGCCAGUAAGCACGCCGGCAGGAGUGCCAGGACGCAGGAUCUGGGUCUAUGCCAUUCACGCCUGACCCUGUGGGUGGUAGACCCUGAGGCCCAGACUGAAGAUGUGGGAGAGCAAGCACUUCCCUCGGAGCGAGCUGUGGCGGGGCGUGGGCCAUGGUCAUGUAGUUGGGUGUGGCUUGAACGCCAACAGGGGAGGGGGGCUCUUCUUGGAGGAGAGGGGGAGGGUUCCUGGUAAAAACAGAAGUUGGCGGAGUAGAUCUGAAGGUCCACUUGGCUUUACCCAACGACCCCAGAGUCCGGGCGCAGCACAUGGGAAGGCCUCCCAGGAGCUGUACACAAUGGAAGGCAUUUAUGCAGAGGAGGGGUCGGGAAAAGGAUGUUUCUAGCAACAAGUGGAUGGAUUGUUUCAGACAAGGUUACCUUCCUGUGGGGGAUGGAGUGGCCCGUCAGAGGGACCGUCUCCCGGUGCUGACCGGUCAAAGGUUACACUCCCAGGAGUGGCUGGACUGUUCCUAAGUCAGGAGUUAGUCUUGGUUCACUGUCGGGGACCUGUGACUGCAACCCGUGACUCCAGGACUCCAACAGCCCUGAGAGAGGCCGUCGGCCUGGGGACGCUGGGGCGGCUAACUAGAACCGGGGCCUCGUGGGGAUGGGCUUGGAAGCACAUUUAGGGCUCCAGUCGGUCCCGACUUGGGGCUGGAGCUGGUGACCAAAUUUAGAGAAACUGGCAGUUACUCACGCAGCCCUGGCCGCCCAGGGCCGACCGUUACGGGGGGUCGUGACUAGAGGAGACAGUCUGACCUCCUGCCAGUCUGAUUCACAGCCGGCUGGCUUGCAGGCUGGCGGCCGUGGGGAUGGGGCAGGCUUCCUGGCAGGCUGCUGCAGGUCGUGGGUGGGAGUUCUGUGUUUCUGUUCGGCCUGGCCACCGUCCACUACGUAUUCAGUCUCUCGAGGACAGUCGGAGCACCCCCUCAGCUGGGAACAGAGACAGCAGCGCCUUCUUCGUUCUGAGACUCCAAGAAGCUGCUGGGCUGGUGCAGGGGCCUGGUUGUCAAAGCUGGAAAUCCGGCUGGGGCUUGGAGGGGGAUGGAGGCGGAACGUAGCUUCCCCGUCACGUGGGAGGCUCACCGAGCAAGGGCCCCGGCUGCCCCGCAGGGUCUGAUAAGAUAAAGAGCCACUGUGGGGCUCUGCUCGGAAGCCCGUUGGCAGGGGUGUCCGAACCCACGUUGCAUCACCUGCUCCGUCCUCCUCCAGCCUGGAAGGGGACUGAGCCCCCAGAUCGUGCAGGAAAACCACGUGAAGAGAGCCGCACAGUCCAGAGCGGCCGGCUUUCCGCCUCAGCCAGGAGCCGAGAGCAGCCUCGAGAAACGGCGUUGCUCUGCUCCAUUUGUUGAAACACAACACGUUUAAGUGAGGUUCACCCGUGACCAUUCCUUUCUCUCGGCGUGUUGGAAGCAGGGCUUUUGAUGGAGCUCACGAGUGGCUCAUUCAAAAGGAGAAUCUGCCUGAAAACGUACAAAUCAAACUUUUCCCAAAGUGUCGAACAAAGACAAGAUCUGCCCGUGAGCCGCACGGCAAGACUUUCGCCGCAUGGAGACGACGGGCCCCCUGGUCUGACAGGUUGGGUGACCUGCUCGGUUCCUUCAGGGCACCCCAUCCAGAGACCAGCCUUCUGCAGAUUUUACAGUGCUGUAUUUGGAGUUUGAUGUAAAAACAUAUCCCCAAGAGGUCACGUUAUGUUCAAAAAUCUGCAUUUGGUAUUAGAAUUUGGGGCCGUGAGCAGAGUGAACCCGCCACGUGUGACAAAACUGGUCUCCAAACAGGUGCUGCUCCCGAGGGAUCUCCCUUGGGGAAGAACACUCCCCGAGUGUGAAGCUGAGACACACUCCCCGUGGGCCUAACACGGCUGCCAGUUGAUUGCCCAAAGUUGUCUUUUGUGAGCUCUGUGAUU